rnacentral:lncRNA from 1 species
ACUUCCGCUCUCACACCCACUUCCGCUCGCCGCCUGGACGCGCGGCCCCGCGGCGCCAUUUCCGCUUCAACCACUCGUGAACGCGAGCGCAGGCGCGCCGGAGGAAACGGAGGCUGCGCUUGCGUAUGUGUGAUGCCGCCGCCCCACCGUCUACUUUCCCACCGACCCCGCUUACGUCUACCGCCUACCAGUGCGUCCCCCGCGGAGCUGUCAUUCCCCGAGGCUUGCCUGACUGUUCAGCUUCUCUCUCCCGCUUGUCCCAGAGAUCCAACUCCAUUCUUCCGGUCUUGUCAUUUCAGAAACCUCGCAAGAAGCUCGCCCUUGUCGUCUCCCAGCGGGCUUCUUAGCUCCCAGCUUGUUUGAUGGGGGUGCCUCUUUUUCUUUCCAGGUAUAGCUGUCCAGCGACACCAUCAUGCAUUCAUUUCUCCAACAAACAUUUUCAUGGGCUCUUGCUCUAUACUGGGGAUGUAGUGGUAAAUGAAAUGGACGAGGCCCUGCCCUCGUGGAACUUACAGUCUGGCAAAGGAAACAGACAAUAAAAUUCUCAGUUGUCUAAGGAGGCAGAGAUGCAUGGGGAGAGGAUCAGAGUAGGGAUGCGGAAGCAGCGAGUGGUCAGGAGUGUGCGUGCCAAAAGGCAGGAGACCUGUGGGACGUGGGGGCAGCUGGGGCCGGAACUUGCGCUGGAGGAACACCCCUUGCCUGCUGGGGCGAGAAGAGGACCCUUUCCUUGGGUGAAAUUCCCCAUAUUGUUAAAAGGACAAUUAAAGAAAUGAAAGAGAGGUCACCUGGGUGAAUAGGCAACUUAGAUGGGCCUCCCUGUGUUCCUGUCAUGCCUCCAAUUCUGCGUCCAGGUGUCCGGAACACAUUUUUUUCUGCCUUUGAAACCUUCCAGUACCUCUGGCAGAGAUAUACCAUACCCUCCUUGUUACCUGCGUGCGGAAUCUUAACUCAUCGUUGUGCUACAUCUGCACCUUCUGCCUUUGUGCCUUGUUUUGUGUUUUCCCUCCUCCGGGGAGAAUAUAAUAAACUUAGCUGAGUCCGUUCUACAUACAAGGAAAUAAUUUAUUUUCUGCUAUGUGUUUGGGGAUGGGGAUAAAAAAAUGAACAAGAAACUAGCUCCUAUCAUUAAGGCACAGAUAGCCCUUUGAAACAUUACUUAACGGGCUAUGGAUAAGCUUCAG